rnacentral:tRNA from 1 species
CGCGGGGUGGAGCAGCUGGAAGCUCGUCGGGCUCAUAACCCGGAGGUCGCAGGUUCGAAUCCUGUCCCCGCAACCA